UUUUUUGAUUUUGUUGUAAUUAAGGUUUAUCUACUUUGUGCUGCACAAAAUUAGAUAGAGGUAUUACAAUUUCUGAACUCAACACCAACUCAAGAAGAUAAACCAGGAGAUUAAGGUUGAGGGAUCUGAUUCAUUUAAAUAAAUGGGUUUGGUAAAGGUUGGCUCAUAUACGAUAUAAACCCAACACAUUGGCCCUAUUUUGCUCACGAUACUUGUAGUUAUCUAUUGAGUUGGUCUAUUAACUUCAAUUUUAGCUCAUAGUCUGCAUAGAUAUUUAUACCAGCAAGCUUAUGUCCUUAAGAACAGGUGAUGGCUUUCUUUUUCGAAGAUCAUGUGUAAUUGGUGGUCAUGUACUCAAACAGAACAGAGAUGUUUGUCAUUGUGUUGAGCAGAACAGAGAUUGUAAAGAGGGAGUUGGGAGUCCACAACGACCAACUUGAUAUUCAAAAGCAACAAGCAGGCAUCCGGCGUGUACGCACACUUCUUCGUAUCUAUUGGGUGAUUUAUAUUUUAAUUUUAUUGUACUUGAUACGAUCACAGUGAAUGCCCACUGAUCAAGGUAGCUUGAUAUAUGGUUGAUGUAGUUGGACAAAAGCUCCAAGAAUGUCUAGACUAGAUCCGUGUGUAUGUAGUCACCAUAGUGCCAUUAGUAUGCUGUAACCCUGUGAGGUUUUGUCUCUCUAAUUUUGUUAGUCAUUUGAUGUUGUAAUAGAAUUAUGGAUGUAGCUGGAAACUCUGUGUGUAUGUAGAAGUUCACAUAUUAGCGAUGUGUUGUGAACUAUUAAAUGUGUUUGUGGAAAUUGUAAUUUAAUCCAGUUGAUGAAAGAAGGUAUUGAGGUUACACUUGAGUUGUACAUCCUAAUUAUUUAUUUACAAAAAGAACCAAGCAGAGUGCAUGAA